UACGUAGGUGGCGAGCGGUGUCCGGAAUUACUGGGUGUAAAGGGCGUGUAGGCGGGGAAACAAGUCAGAUGUGAAAUUCUGGGGCUCAACUCCAGCGCUGCAUCUGAAACUGUAUCUCUUGAGUGCUGGAGAGGAAAGCGGAAUUCCUAGUGUAGCGGUGAAAUGCGUAGAUAUUAGGAGGAACACCAGUGGCGAAGGCGGCUUUCUGGACAGUAACUGACGCUGAGGCGCGAAAGCGUGGGGAGCAAACAGG
rnacentral:rRNA from 1 species